GGAUGAACGCUAGCUACAGGCUUAACACAUGCAAGUCGAGGGUUAGCAUUUUAGUUUGCUUGCAAACUAAAGAUGGCGACCGGCGCACGGGUGAGUAACACGUAUCCAACCUGCCGAUAACUCUGGGAUAGCCUUUCGAAAGAAAGAUUAAUACCGGAUGGCAUAGGAUUAUCGCAUGAUAAUCCUAUUAAAGAAUUUCGGUUAUCGAUGGGGAUGCGUUCCAUUAGGCAGUUGGUGAGGUAACGGCUCACCAAACCUUCGAUGGAUAGGGGUUCUGAGAGGAAGGUCCCCCACAUUGGAACUGAGACACGGUCCAAACUCCUACGGGAGGCAGCAGUGAGGAAUAUUGGUCAAUGGACGGGAGUCUGAACCAGCCAAGUAGCGUGAAGGAUGACUGCCCUAUGGGUUGUAAACUUCUUUUAUACGGGAAUAAAGUGAUCCACGUGUGGAUUUUUGUAUGUACCGUAUGAAUAAGGAUCGGCUAACUCCGUGCCAGCAGCCGCGGUAAUACGGAGGAUCCGAGCGUUAUCCGGAUUUAUUGGGUUUAAAGGGAGCGUAGGUGGAUUGUUAAGUCAGUUGUGAAAGUUUGCGGCUCAACCGUAAAAUUGCAGUUGAUACUGGCAGUCUUGAGUACAGUAGAGGUGGGCGGAAUUCGUGGUGUAGCGGUGAAAUGCUUAGAUAUCACGAAGAACUCCGAUUGCGAAGGCAGCUCACUGGACUGCAACUGACACUGAUGCUCGAAAGUGUGGGUAUCAAACAGGAUUAGAUACCCUGGUAGUCCACACAGUAAACGAUGAAUACUCGCU
rnacentral:rRNA from 1 species